UAGGACCAAAAAAGUAUUUCCUCCAUUUUUUUCCUUCAAAAUGGGCCUAUGUAGGACAGCCAUCCGAUUUACAUUUGGGCUUGGGCUUCUGCACACUUCGGUUCGAAUUGGGCCGGCCGCUCCGACCUGAAUGCUCCGGCAAGGCAACGUUCUUCUUCGUCUUCUUCGUCAAUUUUCAAUUUUCUCUGUAGGUCGCAACAAAAAUGAUGCCAAGGAUCUUCGCUUUCAGUUUACGCUCAAUCAAUUAACCUAACAGCAGCUGAAAAUCAAUUAAAUUCGCCAUGUCCUUUUCUUCGCGCUCCGCAAAGCUCACCCUUCUAGCUCUUCUCUCUGCUUCCACUCUGUAUUGUUUCUACAAGUCCCGCCGUCUCAGAAAGCUUAAACUCUCCUUAAACCCUACUCUUUCUUCUCGCAGACCCAAACUGUUCUUUAUUUCUCAAACUGGUACCUCCAAAGCCCUAGCUCAUCGUCUGCUUAACGUUUUGAAUUCCAAUGAGUUGGUCUUUGAUCUUGUCGAUCCCAAGGAUUAUGAGCCUGAAGAUCUUUUUAAGGAGACUUUAGUUUUGUUCGUUGCCUCCACUUGGGAAGACGGAGGACCUCCUCCUCAUGCUAAGUUUCUCGCUAAUUGGCUUUCUGAAAGCGCGGAGGAUUUUAGAGUUGGUUCGUUGUUGCUUUCUGAGUGUAAAUUUGCUGUGUUUGGUGUUGGUAGUCGAGCUUAUGGAGAGACAUUCAAUGCGGUUGCAAGGAAUUUUUCUAAGCGGAUGAAGGCAUUGGGUGCGAAGGAGAUUUUAGCGGUUGGUAAAGGAGACGUUGAUGGAGGUGAUAUAGAUAGGUGUUUUGAUGAUUGGAGUCGGCAACUGCUGAAAGUUUUGAAGGUUGAUGCGGUUGGAAAUGGUGUGGAUUUAUAUUCUGGGAUUGGUGGGGACAGUGAUGCUGAAAGUGUUGAGGAGGAUGAAGAAGAAGAUGCCGACCUUGGGGAGGAGGACAUUGUUGAUCUUGAGGAUAUUGCUGGGAAGGGUCCUUCGAGAAAGUCUACGAAUGUAGUCGAAACUAAUGGGAAAUUGAAUGGGAAAAAGGUUAUGGUGACGCCGGUGAUUAGAGCGAGCUUAGAAAAGCAGGGAUAUAAAAUUAUUGGCUCACAUAGCGGAGUGAAAAUUUGUAGAUGGACGAAGUCUCAGCUUCGAGGACGAGGAGGUUGCUAUAAACAUUCAUUUUAUGGCAUAGAAAGUCAUCGAUGCAUGGAGGCAACUCCCAGUUUGGCUUGUGCCAACAAAUGUGUUUUCUGCUGGAGGCAUCACACAAAUCCAGUAGGAAAGAGUUGGCAGUGGGAGAUGGAUGAUCCAUUGGAUAUUGUGAAUUCUGCAAUCGAUUUACACACAAAAAUGAUCAAGCAAAUGAAAGGUGUUCCAGGUGUUACGCAGGAGAAAUUGGACGAAGGCCUGUCUCCAAGACAUUGUGCCUUAUCUCUUGUUGGUGAACCUAUUAUGUACCCAGAGAUUAAUACACUUGUUGAUGAAUUGCAUCGAAGACGGAUUUCAACUUUCUUGGUAACAAAUGCUCAGUUUCCGGAUAAAAUAAAAUUGCUGAAGCCAGUCACCCAGUUGUAUGUAAGUGUAGAUGCUGCGACGAAGGAGAGCUUGAAGGCAAUUGAUAGACCACUUUUUGGAGACUUCUGGGAGAGAUUCAUUGAUUCCUUGAAAGCUCUAAAUGACAAGCAACAGCGAACAGUUUAUCGAUUGACGUUGGUAAAAGGGUGGAACACAGAAGAUAUUGAUGCCUAUUCAAAUCUCUUUAGCAUUGGUAGACCUGAUUUUGUAGAAAUCAAAGGCGUCACAUAUUGUGGAUCAUCUAAUACUUCAAAGCUGACAAUGGAGAACGUUCCGUGGCAUUCUGACGUCAAGUCUUUUUCUGAGGCUUUAGCUGCAAAAAGUCAAGGGGAGUAUGAAGUUGCUUGUGAACAUGUGCACUCAUGUUGCGUUCUUUUGGCUAAAACUGACAAAUUUAGGGUCGAUGGCCAGUGGUUCACUUGGAUAGAUUAUGAGAAAUUCCAUGACCUGGUGGCCUCUGGAAAACCUUUUGAUAGCAAGGACUACAUGGCUCCAACACCAUCAUGGGCUGUAUAUGGCUCCGAUGAAGGUGGAUUUGAUCCUAAUCAAUCUCGGUACCGGAAGGAGCGGCAUCAUAGACCAAAACCCACAUCCUGAUAGCUUUGGAUGUCCGGAGUCAUGUCACCAUCCACUUAAAGGUUGUCUACCUUUUUAGAUUUAACAGCCGACGAAUGACAUUAUUUCAACCUCAGAAGGCCGGAUCGGGGCACCGUGUCUCUGUCCCAUCAGUAUAGUCCAUGAGGUUAGGAACGGAUCCUGACGUGUUGCCAUCUACCUUCCUUCAUAGUUCAUACUAAAAUAAUGAAUGGUACCUACAAUAUUUUUACUGGAUCCAACAUUCAGAAUCAAAGAGCAAGUCCGAUCAAAUCAAGAUCUGCCUUACCUUCAAUAUUUACUUGAUCUAACCUUCAGAUGAAAGAAUAAGUCCAGCCAAAUCAAGAUCUGUGAUUUUCCCGAAGCAAAGCUUGUCAUUGCCAACUCCAUUCGAUCAGUUCGAGUGCAAACCGUGCAGUAAAGAGUCUUCUGGGGCUGCUGGUAAAUAACCCUGGGUAAAAGAUGGAGAGACAAGAUCCUCGUCUGCUGGUCAUAUGUCCCAGAAACCCCAGAAAACUAAGGAGAUUGCAGUCGCCAUAGCUGAAACCUCCGCCUCCAAAUUAGCCGAUGAUGGUAUCGGCCAAUCGAUACAGCCCAGAAAAAGGGGCCGACCUCGUAAGGUUCUCGAUGAACCACAGA